CUUCCCAUCUCUUUCAGUUUUAAUAGGAGGAGGAGAGCGUGAGUCUGAGGUUCAGUGUAAGAUCUGCCAAAGGGAGACCACAGUAUCUGCAUGACCUGGGGGAGAUAAACCUAGGAUUUCUGGAAAGCAUUUGGAGGAUUCUUGUGGUUGAGAAGCCAGAGGAAAGAUCCAUAAAUAAGCCUGAAACAAACCAUGGAUUUUCUUAAAACAAAUUGCGGAUGGCUGGUUUGCAGCUGAGUCCUUUGGGAGAUGGGGGCAUCUGAGAAAACCAGAUAUUACAUCAGCCCCGGACUUCCAUUAUGAAUGACCACCUGGACCUCAUCAGAUUAUUUGUAAGUUGCCUGGUGCUUUCACUUUAAGAGAAAACCCUCCUCACUCUUACUGUCAUUGUUACUACUACCUCUUCAGAGUUUGGGUAUUUCUUUCUUAUCCAGUUUAAAGGGACAGUCACAAAGACGCAACUAAAUAUAUUUCUAAGGCAGCCUUUUGUACUUUUUCUACUUUUUUCCCCCACCGACUAAAACACCUCUACAAUCUUUUUCCAUCCUGCUUAAUUACAUGAAGAAAAUGAGUCCACAGGAAGCUUCUUUCUUUGCAGUCUAAAAGCAGCAAGUUACUAUCCAUGUUCUGGCAAGUGAGAAACUCUCUGAGUGUGGACAUUUUUCUUACCAAAUGCAGUAACAAUGACUGGACAUAUUCAUUCUGAACUGGAUUAUAAAACAAAGCUUUACACCAAGGUCCAGUUCAAAUGUUCCAGAAAAUCAUGGUUUCCCAUUAUGAGAAGAAGCCACAGUGAGCCUCAUGUUAUUUCCGUCCUUCGUGAGUGAAUGAUGGCUUGAAUCGGAGAUACAUGUCAUACAUUGGGAAACCAUGAUUUCCUCUUAGAUCUGACCAAAUCAUUGUGUGACAAUUUUAUUGACAAAUGACAGAUAUAUCUUCUGCAAAGCCAAAUCUGUGACGGCUGGAUGAGAAACAGAACAUUCUAGUGUUCUCCAAAACCUUCUGCUCUUGGACUGGGAAUGGUCAGAUAACGUAUGGUGUUGGUUGGCCAUAAGCACGCACAGGCAGUGUUUUCACAGAAGGCGGACCUCUACCAGUAAUUCUCAGGCUCAAGGAACCUGAAUGCAGAAGCCAUAGGGACAUAACAUGCACCAUGAUGUUAUUUGCAAAUGAUGUAAAUUAUGAAAUUUGCAUAAGUUGUGCCAUGAUGCAAAUAAUGCACAGUAUUUAAUUCUCAUUGCUUAUGCAAUAAUGUCACACGUGUGAUGUUGCUCUUUCCCCACCAUCCUGGUAAGUGCAAAAUGUUCCAUCUUAGUUGUGAGGAAGAAGAAUGUAUUUGGCAAGUCACAACUGCUUAGAUGCCAAAUGUAGCUUGGGUUUUAAACAACUGCGCACUUAGGGUGAUGAUCAUUAUUUCUGACAACCACAGGAACUGAACACUGAAAAUAAGGUGAGAGAACCACACCAUGCAGAACAUCUCACUGCGCUUUGCUGAAUGCAAAUCAAACAUUUGUGCCAAAGGAAACUUUUUUCCCAAUGCAAACAGCAGGUGCAGGAGAACCAAUCCGAUCAGAAAAAAAGGUUAAAGCUCUUGGAUUGCCCCCUUCUCUAAGCACUUGUUACCUUUUUUAAGAAGCUGUUUUUACAAUUUCUAUAUCAUAAAUAGCGUCUUGUUUAAUUUAGCUCUGAACCACUGAACAAUUAGUUUACAUUACAUUUAUGUGCACACAUACUAUGGAGUAAGUCCUUCUGAACUCAGAGGAAUUAACUUAGAAUCAGGAUUGUGUUGCAUAUGUAACUUGCCUAAUGCAUCUACUUUUGUCUAUGCACCAAUUUAAAAGGAAAGGAACACGGAAACACCUUCCACCUAAAGUAAAUAUUUUUUUUAAUCAGGCCAUGUAAAUUCUACAUACAGUAGGCAAACUAUUACUUGCUUUACAUAAUCCACUUGUACAUUUAUUUUCUAGAUGCCAAGUCCAUAAUAAUAAUUAUUCUAAAACAUUACUCAAUAUUUUAU